CCCCCGGCCUCCAAAAAAUGAAAAAAACAAACAAACAUAAGAAACACUGUCAAACUUGGUCUUGACCAAAUUUCAACUACCAGAUUAACUACGUACAAUAUGUAUGAGGUUGUGACCUCACAAGAUUUCUAUUCUUUAUCUUUUUUUCUUUUCUUGUAUUGGCAAGUAUUGACUGACUGGGGAAGUAUGUUGUUGUUGUAAUAGCAUCAGUGUCUGUGGCUCAUCCAUCCUGCCCAUCACGUCUCUAAUGCUCCCGCAGUACCGAUAUAAAUCAGGAGCAAAAGUAAGGUCUAACAUGGAAAAAGAUGAAGAGUUGGAGUUGUUGUUCUUGUUGGCAUGGCGAUAAUUGUUUUAUAAAUAUAUACAUGUACAUUCACCUUUGUGGGCGGAUGAUUUUUCCACGUGGGUGGGCAAAGGGAGGUUGAGUUGAGGUGACAGCGGGAGGUCUCCAAUGAAAACACCGGUUUCUGAGAAUAAAAUCCGGUUUUAUUUUAUUUUUCCGCCGGCUUUGGACGCGUGAGGAAAAGAGAAACGCGGCUUCCAGGAUUCCUUCCGCUUCGGGCUUCGCCUCGGCUAGCAUUGUUCCAGGAAUCCCCGGCGUGGCUCGCCGGGAGGCGAGCGCUGCCUGCCGUGCGAUUGGUGGAGGAGCCCCGUGUCUGGGAUUUGGGAAUACCGAUUCCUAAUCCGCUGCGCGGCUCCCUCCGUCUCUGGACGUCUCAGGUUGGAACGUGUAGGUGGAGUUGGUCUGGAAUAGCAUUUAAAGGCGCUCAAGGAUUUUGAAACCGCAGACCUUCACACGUCAACAGUAGAACAAAAAGUGCACACAAAAGUAAGCCCUGGAACCAGAAUCAGCUGCUACGGCUAAAUGCUUUGGAAUCUGUCUACGACGACAAGACGUCCAGGGUCAGAGGCCGGUUGUGAUGACCCCCGCAGCCCGGACAAGUUGCCACUCCAUCACCGAGCCAACAAAUAGCACGGUUGAUUAUGUUCCAGCUGGUUUUCAUGCCCCAGAUUGCCAUUUUACAAUAGUGAGGCACAAAGCAACAAGUCAAUGCAGCGGGAACGAAAACAUAUUAUGGCUCUCAAGUUAAAAGCUCAAGCGACAAUUGUUAGGAAGUCCCAGCGCGAUGUGGAUGUUACCGAAGGAUGAGUUUGGAGCUAGUUUUGUUUGCCGCAGUUUUCCCGCUUUGUUCACGAUGGGAAAAAGGUAUAAAACAAAGGUGACGCAACACAUCACAGUGAAUCAUGUGAUCCCUCUUAAACCUGACGAUGUUGUUUAGAACUAAAUUGUACAAAUGUACUGUAUGUAUUCUUGGCAGAAUGCUUCACGUGAGGUAAUCCCUCAUCCAAUCGUGUCUCUUAUUCCGAGCCUCAACCCUGAACCGACCUGUGCAGACGGCGGUCUGAGCGAAUGCCCUCCUUCCCACAUCUUUCCAUCACUUACACAACAUUUGGUCUUCAUUAGGAAAAGAAAACACACACACGGCUCCCAAUCCCUCACCGAGCGGAGGGAGAUACUAUUUCAGCCUUGUCUUGGUAAUCAACCCGUCAGCGCGGCGGCAGCAGAGCUACCGGCGAGCCGAUGAACUCUGUCCGUCUCUCUCUCACACACACACACACACCAACUAAUCAAGACGGGGACGCGGACGGCGUCCAUGAAAACUGGCCGACAGGAAGUUACAGCCAUGUCACGGGAAAUAGGAUGUGUCUUUCUCCCGGAGCAGCAGUAUCCCCGCGAUUAGAGGGAGCAGAUUGAGCUGUCCCUUUGCAUU
ensembl:lncRNA